GGUAACAGGAAGCAGCUUGCUGUUUCGCUGACGAGUGGCGGACGGGUGAGUAAUGUCUGGGAAACUGCCUGAUGGAGGGGGAUAACUACUGGAAACGGUAGCUAAUACCGCAUAACGUCGCAAGACCAAAGAGGGGGACCUUCGGGCCUCUUGCCAUCGGAUGUGCCCAGAUGGGAUUAGCUAGUAGGUGGGGUAACGGCUCACCUAGGCGACGAUCCCUAGCUGGUCUGAGAGGAUGACCAGCCACACUGGAACUGAGACACGGUCCAGACUCCUACGGGAGGCAGCAGUGGGGAAUAUUGCACAAUGGGCGCAAGCCUGAUGCAGCCAUGCCGCGUGUAUGAAGAAGGCCUUCGGGUUGUAAAGUACUUUCAGCGGGGAGGAAGGGAGUAAAGUUAAUACCUUUGCUCAUUGACGUUACCCGCAGAAGAAGCACCGGCUAACUCCGUGCCAGCAGCCGCGGUAAUACGGAGGGUGCAAGCGUUAAUCGGAAUUACUGGGCGUAAAGCGCACGCAGGCGGUUUGUUAAGUCAGA
rnacentral:rRNA from 1 species